rnacentral:rRNA from 11 species
CUCGAGUAUAUAAGUAAGCGGAGGAAAAGAAACUAACUAGGAUUCCCUUAGUAAUGGCGAAUGAACAGGGAUCAGCUCAGUGCCAAAUCGGAAUCACUUGUGGUUCUGAAAUGUGGCUUGAAGGCAGUA